UCGAUUUUUUGUCCGCUUUUUUCUUCUUUCUUUCCCUCUCCCUCUCUCUUUCCCUCUCCCUCUUCCUCCUUCGUCCUCUCUAAUUCUUCUCUCUUUCCCCUCUCCCUCUUCCUCCUUCGUCCUCUCGAAAGGGAGAAGAAACCCUAACUCUGGCUCUAACCCAGCGCGCGAACCCCUUCAACGGAAAUCAAUCGUCUUUCUCCACGGGAGGGGGGAAGCACGAGGGGGCUAGGGUUUCCUUCCUUUCCAGUUUCCCCCCACCAUGGCCGCGCGGCAUGUCGUCCCCAACCUCUACGAGACAGCGUCCCAGCCCGACACAGGCGACCCUUACACCUUCCUAGAAUUCAACACGCAAGGCGACGACUACGACUACGAAUUCAGGAAGCUCAGCCAGCCGAUCAGGUCGACCGUGUGGUCUCCCAACAACUCGCCUCCCUACCACCGGUGCCGCGGCGGCCAACGAGUCGAACAACCGCGAUCUGCCUGCGGAUACGGCGUCUGCCAACACGGCCGCGUCGUCUCCCAGGCCUACCGGGACGAAAGGCCGGUCGAACCAGGGCGUGACAGAUGCCUUGGCUGCGGGUAUCGGUGAGCUGAGCUUCGAGGCAACUGGCGAUGAGGAGGGCUUUGAGGUUGGACAUGUGGAGGGGAUUUCACUGAGCAUGCGUCCCGGUAUUGCGGGGUGCAGAACCCUGCUUGCGUCGUCCCGUCCUGCCGCAAGUGGUUCUGCAAUUCAAGGGGCAACACGUCCGGGUCUCAUAUUGUUAAUCAUCUGACAAUGGUAGCGGAGGAACAAACAUGGCAGCACAUAUGGCACUUGCUAAAGGAUGCAUGGAGGAGGCUGAACAGGGAGAUGCACUCGGCUCAGCAACAUCAGCAACAUACUGCCUUCUCUCGAUCCUUCAUGGACGUGGCGCUCAACAUUGCGAGGGUCUCCCAGUGCAUGUACGAUUAUGAAGAUAGCGUUGGUGUCUUGAAGCAUGAGUCCAUGGACCGUGUCUACUCUCUCAUUGCCGAACCCAUCCAAACUGCCUAAGCAAACCACCAGUCGCUGCUUCCCACUUUCAACCAUGUUGCUGCUCAUUAACCGAAUCCUACUUAUGAUACUAUGUAUCAUCAUGCAAUAAAAUGAGUACAUUAAUAUAUUAAA